CUUCCUCGAUCUGCUGCGGGCAGAUGAAGUGGAUGUGCGAAUCGAUGCCGCCCGCGGUGACCAUCAGCCCCUCGCCUGCAAUCACCUCGCUGCCGGCGCCGAUCGGGAUCGUCACCGCCGGCUGGAUGUCGGGGUUGCCCGCCUUGCCGAUCUUCCAGAUGCGCCCGUUCUUGAUGCCGAUGUCGGCCUUGACGAUGCCCCAGUGAUCCACGAUGAGCGCGUUGGUGAUCACGGUGUCGGCGACCUCCGCCGACAGGCGCUGGCUCUGGCCCAUGCCGUCGCGGAU
rnacentral:sRNA from 1 species